rnacentral:lncRNA from 1 species
GGGAUGUCAUUGCUCAUGUAGUACGUGGGGUUGGAUAGCAGAAUCACUGUGUGGUCCAAUCCUUCCCAGCCUUGGGCUUCCUUCUGGAUCAACGCCAUCAGUUUGUGCCGGCGAAGAGAAUAUUCCACCUGUGACAAUCCUGGGGUUACCUCCCCUGGUUUAAGUAGGUGUGGGUGUGUGAAGGGGCUGGGCUGGCCCAAAUAUCGGUUUGGAAUCUUC